UCUCUCGAAGAAGAAGAGCAAAGAACUUGAAGAAUUCACCGAAUCUUUCCGCCGUUCUUCUUUCAUAGAUCUACGCUAUUCUCGUCAAAGCCAAUAUACGACAUCAAGAUCCUCUCUGUUGGAAGACAAACAAAGGUAACAACUUUUGUAAAACUUGACAGCAAGAGGAAUGGGCGUUAAACUGUCUGAACCAACAGCUCAGAUCAGUUGCAGAUUGCUAUUAUGGCUCUUCGUCCCUUUGCUAUGUCAAUCUACAAGAAGAUUAUUGGAUCGGGAGAGAACUGAAAUGAUCUUAAGAUUUCAAUUAUAAGUAGGUCGUCAAAGAAAUAGAGAAGAAGCCCAAAUAAAAUAAUAGACAAUGAAGCAGAGAAUUUGAGAACAGCAUUUGGCGAUUCACCUUAAUUUUUUCUUUUUCUCUCUCAAAGAAGAAGAACGACGAAUUCGAAGAACCCACUGAAUCCCUUUGUCGUUCUUCUCUCAAAGAUCUACUCUACUCUCGUCGCCGACAAAUCUCCAAAAGAAAUGUUAGUUGUAAUUGAAAAGGAUAGUUAAGCCUCCAAUUCAUGUCAGCAAACCAUAUACGAAUGAAAAGAGAAUGAAGGAAAAGAAGAAGGAGAAGGUCUGUUGGUGGUUUUAGAUAUAUUGUAUGGUUUUUAGUAACAAUUUUUCGGUUUGUAAUUUGGUUUCUAAGGUUAUGUAUAAAUCUAAGUGUUUAGGUACAACUGGUACGAUCAGGUACAACUAUGUUUCUGGGUUUAUGUUUUUUUAUUAUGUAUAAAUCUUUGAAUCUUAAUCUAAUUAUGUAUGAAUCUUUGAAUC